rnacentral:rRNA from 1 species
GGGGAACUGAAACAUCUAAGUACCCCGAGGAAAAGAAAUCAACCGAGAUUCCCCCAGUAGCGGCGAGCGAACGGGGAGGAGCCCAGAGCCUGAAUCAGCAUGUGUGUUAGUGGAAGCGUCUGGAAAGGCGCGCGAUACAGGGUGACAGCCCCGUACACAAAAGCGCAUGUGCUGUGAGCUCGAUGAGUAGGGCGGGACACGUGGUAUCCUGUCUGAAUAUGGGGGGACCAUCCUCCAAGGCUAAAUACUCCUGACUGACCGAUAGUGAACCAGUACCGUGAGGGAAAGGCGAAAAGAAC